CAUGCAAGUCGAACGGAUCCAAGGAGCUUGCUCCUGAAGAUUAGUGGCAAACGGGUGAGUAAUGUAUAGGAAUCUACCUAACAGUAUGGAAUAACUCUGGGAAACCAGUGCUAAUACCAUAUAUUACCGAUUUAUCGGGAAAGAUUUAUCGCUGUUAGAUGAGCCUGUAUCAGAUUAGCUAGUUGGUAGGGUAAUGGCCUACCAAGGCGAUGAUCUGUAGCUGGUCUGAGAGGAUGAUCAGCCACACUGGGACUGCGACACGGCCCAGACUUC
rnacentral:rRNA from 1 species